CGGCGAGUGAAGCGGGAUGAGCUCAAAUUUGUAAUCUGGCGGCCUCCGGUCGUCCGAGUUGUAGUCUGGAGAAGCGUCUUCCGCGUCGGACCGUGUACAAGUCCCUUGGAACAGGGCGUCACAGAGGGUGAGAAUCCCGUCUUUGACACGGACUGCCGACGCUUUGCGAUGCGCUCUCGAAGAGUCGAGUUGUUUGGGAAUGCAGCUCAAAUCGGGUGGUAAAUUCCAUCUAAAGCUAAAUAUGGGCGAAAGACCGAUAGCGAACAAGUACCGUGAGGGAAAGAUGAAAAGCACUUUGGAAAGAGAGUUAAACAGUACGUGAAAUUGUUGAAAGGGAAACGCUUGAAGUCAGUCGCGUCUCCCGGGACUCAGCCCUCGCUUCUGCUGGGUGUACUUCCCGGGGCGACGGGCCAGCAUCGAUUUCGACCGUCGGAGAAAGGCCUUGGGAAUGUGGCACCUUCGGGUGUGUUAUAGCCCUCGGUCGUAUGCGACGGUGGGGAUCGAGGACCGCAGCACGCCUCUUUUUGGCCGGGGUUCGCCCACGCACGUGC
rnacentral:rRNA from 1 species